rnacentral:rRNA from 1 species
ACACGACUACAUUAGAUACCCGUGUAGUCCUAGCCGUAAACGAUACUCGCUAGGUGUCGGCCACGGUGCGACCGUUGUCGGUGCCGUAGGGAAGCCGUGAAGCGAGCCACCUGGGAAGUACGGCCGCAAGGCUGAAACUUAAAGGAAUUGGCGGGGGAGCACAACAACGGGUGGAGCUUGCGGUUUAAUUGGAUUCAACGCCGGAAAUCUUACCGGGACCGACAGCAACAUGAAGGCCAAGCUGAAGACUUUGCCGGAUUUAGCUG